rnacentral:lncRNA from 1 species
CUGGUAUCCUGCAGUGGAUUCUCCAGAUGGGCCUCCGCUGCCUUCACUACCUGCUGCAGGCUUUUGGCAUGAAAAGGUCUUUAAGGCAAAUCCACCUGGAGGGAGAAUGCACAGACCUUGAAGAGAGGGGAGUGGACAUGAGAGGAGAGGGCUUCUUCCAUGAAUGGAAGCAGGUGAGGACUUCACCAGAAGAAGAUGCUGAUGCCAUCCUGCCUGUACAGCCUGAAAAAGAACUGAAUGGAAAUGAGGAUACAGAGAAUUCAAAAAGGGGAGCCACGUGAGGACUAUGAGGAGGUAGCCAUCUACAAGACGAGAUGAGAGGCCUCAGAAGAAACCAAACCUAUAGACACCUUCAUCUUUGACUUCUGGCCUGGAAAACUGUGAGAAAUUUUCUAUUUUUUAAGCUACCCUGUCUGUGAUAUUUUACAGCUUUAGAAAACCUGGCAGCUUUAGAAAACAAGUACACUGCCCAUUACUGCAAAAAGUGUUUUGGAGAAAAACCUAAUUUUUGUGAGUCUGUGGCUUUCAGUGCUAUACUAGGGCAGUGACACCUUAGCUAAUAAACAUACCGAGAGAUUUUGAGGGAUAUAAAUAUGGUAUAAAAUAUAUUCUGUUGAAUUAUAAAUAAUAAUUUAUAUUUUUAAUCUUGCUGUGGAACUUUAAGAAUUUAAAUAUUGGUCCAGACCUGGCCGAAUGUCCC